rnacentral:ribozyme from 1 species
CAAAAAAAAAAAAAAAAAAAAAAAAAAUAACAAACGACCAAUUAUUGGUUGUCUGUUUUUUUUGCUUUUAGUAUGUUUGUUAUUUUAC